UGGGGAAUAUUGCGCAAUGGGGGAAACCCUGACGCAGCGACGCCGUGUGAGGGAAGAAGGCUUUCGGGUCGUAAACCUCUGUCAGGAAGGAAGAACCUCUCAAGGCUGAACAAGCCUUGGGACUGACGGUACUUCCAGAGGAAGCACCGGCUAACUCCGUGCCAGCAGCCGCGGUAAUACGGAGGGUGCAAGCGUUAAUCGGAAUUACUGGGCGUAAAGCGUGCGCAGGCGGUUUUGUAAGACAGAGGUGAAAUCCCCGGGCUCAACCUGGGAACUGCCUUUGUGACUGCAAGGAUGGAGUGCGGCAGAGGGGGAUGGAAUUCCGCGUGUAGCAGUGAAAUGCGUAGAUGUGCGGAGGAACACCGAUGGCGAAGGCAAUCCCCUGAGCCUGCACUGACGCUCAUGCACGAAAGCGUGGGGAGCAAACA
rnacentral:rRNA from 1 species